GGUUGUAGCUCAGUGGUAGAGCACUUGCCUAGCAUGUGUGAGGCACUGGGUUCAAUUCUCAGCACCA
rnacentral:tRNA from 1 species